rnacentral:rRNA from 1 species
GUGAGGAAUAUUGGUCAAUGGGCGAGAGCCUGAACCAGCCAAGUCGCGUGAAGGAAGACGGCCCUACGGGUUGUAAACUUCUUUUGCAGGGGAAUAAAGUGCAGGACGUGUCCUGUUUUGUAUGUACCCUGAGAAUAAGGAUCGGCUAACUCCGUGCCAGCAGCCGCGGUAAUACGGAGGAUCCGAGCGUUAUCCGGAUUUAUUGGGUUUAAAGGGUGCGUAGGUGGUUUGAUAAGUCAGCGGUGAAAGUUUGCAGCUUAACUGUAAAAAUGCCGUUGAAACUGUCGGACUUGAGUGUAAAUGAGGUAGGCGGAAUGCGUGGUGUAGCGGUGAAAUGCAUAGAUAUCACGCAGAACUCCGAUUGCGAAGGCAGCUUACUAAGCUACAACUGACACUGAAGCACGAAAGCGUGGGGAUCAAACAGGAUUAGAAACCCCGGUAGUCC